rnacentral:rRNA from 1 species
UACGUAGGGUGCGAGCGUUGUCCGGAAUUAUUGGGCGUAAAGGGCGUGUAGGCGGCCAGGUAGGUCUGGUGUGAAAACUCGAGGCUCAACCUCGAGAGGUCAUCGGAAACCAUCUGGCUAGAGUCCGGAAGAGGAGAGUGGAAUUCCCGGUGUAGCGGUGAAAUGCGCAGAUAUCGGGAAGAACACCUAUGGCGAAGGCAGCUCUCUGGGACGGUACUGACGCUGAGACGCGAAAGCGUGGGGAGCGAACAGG